UACGGAGGGAGCAAGCGUUGUUCGGAAUUACUGGGCGUAAAGGGCGUGUAGGCGGUCUUUUAAGUCAGGCGUGAAAUCUUUCGGCUCAACCGGAAACUGGCGCUUGAUACUGGAAGGCUUGAGUCAAGGAGAGGAAAGUGGAAUUCCUGGUGUAGCGGUGAAAUGCGUAGAUAUCAGGAAGAACACCAGUGGCGAAGGCGACUUUCUGGCCUUGUACUGACGCUGAGGCGCGAAAGCCAGGGGAGCGAACGGGAUUAGAUACCCCCGUA
rnacentral:rRNA from 1 species